rnacentral:misc_RNA from 1 species
AACGCACCUUGCGCUCCUUGGUAUUCCGAGGAGCAUGCCUGUUUGAGUGUCAUCGAAUUCUCAACCAUGUCUUGAUCGAUUUCAAGGCCAUGGCUUGGAGUUGGGGGUUGCUGGCGGCGACGAGCUGUCGGCUCUCCUGAAAUGCAUUAGCAAAGGGCAGCAAGUCUUUGACGUGCACGGCCUUCGACGUGAUAAUGAUCGUCGUGGCUGGAGCGUCGGACAUGCAUGAAUUAGGUCCUGUGCUUCUAAUCUCUCCCAUGCCUGACGGCGUGUGUUUCGAAACUUGACCUCAAAUCAGGUAGGACUACCCGCUGAACUUAA